rnacentral:tRNA from 1 species
AGGCAAAUGGCACAGCUUUGGCGCAGUUCCUUCUGGAGCCAUUACUACACACAGCCAAGUCGCCCCCCUCCCAAGGGGAGGGUCGCCCGUUCGAAUCGGGCCGGGG